CACACCUGCAAGUCCUUAAAUGGGUUUUUUCACUUGAGCCAAAAAUGUUGGAAAAAACUUGAUUACUUUAUUUCAGAGCAUUGUUUCGAGAAGGAAGGAAGCUCCCAUUUUUAGUUACGGAUUAUUAUGUAAGCGAGACCUUUAAGAAGACAUCUAAAGCGCACUAAGGACAAAACAGAAAAAUCCUUGUAAUUUUGCUGCCCGUGCGCUGGGCACGGAACGUUGCCUCUCCUCCUACACGUCCUUGUUUCUGUGAGCGAACAGAUCGGGGUCCUGUGGGGUGUCCAUGCCCCAGAUGUUGGCGAUGUCUUCUGUACGUCACAGGCAUCUAACCGUGUAGUCCCAUGGGUGUUUGUGGGGGUGUGAGGAUCCGUCCGUCCUUCUCCGGCAAGUGGCUUCUUGGUGGCGCGCCAUGCCCGGGUAUACGUGACGUGUGGUGGCCCCUCCUCUCCUGGAACGUUGGGUCGAUGGAUCUUUGGUUUCCUGCAACGCCAGCCAGACUCAGUCCCUGAGAUGUGCCCUCAGCGGACUCUGGGCUGUUACCGCUGCCGCCCCCCACCCGACUUCUGACUGUGACAUCUUCUGGGUGGACGAGAGCCUCCCCGCAGCCGCCGUGGCCGGUCUGGCUACAGCUGCUCCUGUGGCAGGCCAGAGUGGGAGCCCGGCCCGGCCCGAGGGCGGGUGGACCCAUCAUCCCACCUAUGAUGCACAGAAGUCACCAGGCCCAGACACUCUUCCCCGAGAGGAGACACUCACUUACCCACACCCACGUCCUGUUUUCAAAACAGCAAGACUGCGCAUGCACGUUCCCCAGAAAAGCAGGAGCUUCGGCCUCCGCGGCCGGGAUCAUGCUGGGGCCGACCUGCUGGGAUCGUGCCCCGUUUCUUGGGUGUUUCUAAUUAGGACGAUGUCCGCCGGCCCUGUUUUCCCUGACACACUUAGCUGGAGAGAAUGGAUUUCAUGCUCACCCAUGCAGGUUUCCCUGCCUCCUUGUUGGCUUAGAAGAGGAGAGUGGGGCCGCUUUCCCUCUAAUUACAUGGCUGUCCUCAGGUUAACCCCUGCGUGCCGGGUUCUCUGGGACACAAAACAGCCUUGGGAAAAGCCUGUGGUGCACAAUUCUGGCUUUUUUUUUUUUUUUUUUUUUUUUCCCCUCUUUGGGUCUGGAAAGUAAGAAAAAUACUGAUUUCAUUUUUAAACACCCGUGGAGGAAGUUUGGGAUUGUUUUCCCCCAGAGGAAACAGACGCAUGAACUAGCAGGUUUAUUCUGUUCACGUGUGGGGGGAGGGAAGGCUUUGCGCAGAUGGGCUCCUUUGCCUGUGGCUUGAAAACGGCACGUUCUGAACCGUGAAGCCUGAGGGUCUGUCCAUAGGACAUGGUGGGAGGGACACGGCAAAGGGCCCCAGCCGGGCCUCCUUCCCUGCACCCGGGGCUCCUGGAUCGGGGGCUCGCUGGGCGGCGAAGGUGUCUGGUGGGUCCACAACCUGUGAGCCGUGGAGGGCAGGGCAAGGCCAUCCUCCACGCCGACUCCCGGGGCUGGGUGGGUUGUACUCGGUGCUGCGGACACUUGGGGGCUCUUCUGCUCGAGGACUGUUUGCACACCACCAGCUCCAGAAUUGCCGCGGGCAUCCAGAACCCCUUCACUCCCCUGCUAGGCCCCCAUGCCGAUGCCCCAAGCGCAGAGCUGCCCCCCCGCCUCCGAGAUGUCCCCGCUUCCUUCUCAACCCGCAGGACGGCGCGGGGUCUCGGGCUCAGGACAGCCACCAGGCUGCUCCGCUUUGACGAGGAGACGUCCCCGCACGUGGCGGACACCUGGAAGCAGCAGCGCGGGCCGUGCACCCCCCAUCCAAGCCUCUGCCUGCUGAGGCCCCCAGCACGUCCCCUCCGUAGCCAUCUCAUUCCAGUCAUGUUCUUAUUGGGUUUGCGUCUGGCUGUUGUCCUGUGGGCGGCAGGUCUGUGUAUAGCUGGGGUCCCUCUGCUUCAGGCCACAUGUGGUGACCCUGUUGGGAGGCAGGGGACCAGCCUUGGAGGACUUCCUCCUUUCUGUCCUGCUGCUCCCGGUCUCCUGGGUCGUGUCACGUAAUGAGGCUCUGUCCUCCCUGCUUUCUCUGUAGCCUGUGGAAGUGUGAACCCCGUGAAACAUAGUUUACAAAGUUAGGAUCGGUUAAGUAUCGCGCAUUAUAAAUCCAAGUGAUGGUGUUGCCUUUUGUGCGAAGGCAAUAAUGUCACUAAAUCCCAGAGAAUUCUAAUAUUUAAGUAUCGUUGCUGCCUUUAUACAUUUACUAAUAAAGGAAAACCUUCCAAUACCUAAAACCAAAGUAGAAACUUUUGUGUAUGGUUUUCCUUUGAAUGGGUCAGUACCUUGAUUGAGUUCUAAAAAUCGGUUUUCUUUGAAGGUUUUCUGUCCCGGGCUUUGAACUGUUCUCACUUGUUUCUAUUUUGAAGUGUAUAUUGGAGAAAAACUCUGCCUUCCUUUCCUUUUUUUGUUACGUGCGUCACUGCGGAUUCUUGACAACCAGACUUGUAAGGGAUUGAUCUGAAGGCUCCCCGCAGCUGGCCUGUUUGGGCGUCCUGCCUUCUGCGGAGGUGCGGGGGGCCCUUCAGGUGGCAGAGCCGGGCCUCCCCCUUCCACAAGCCCUGGGCUCGGGGACACGAUGACAAGUUCGGUGCCCGUGAGUCAGGGGGCCGAGGCCUAGUCACACCCCAUUUCCCAGCUUCUCCGUAAGCGGGGCCACUGGAGCAGGAAGGAGGCUCCUCAGCCUGGAGGCCCCUCCCCCAGGGCAGGACCCUCCUGGGUUCUCCUGUGACUGACUGUCCUCCUUCUAUCCAGUCUGUGAUGGAGCCUCCCUGACCCCGUCCACACCUGUGAGCCAGGACAGGCCUUCCUGCUGCUUGGGAGGCGGAGCCAGCGAGGGACGGUGGUGGGCCAGGUUGUAGCCCGGGUCCAGGAGCCUCUGUGAGCAGCAUUAUCCGGGAUGAGCGGUAGCCACGCGCGCCCUGGUCCGUGGGACGCAGACACGCAGUCCGGUUACCCACUUUCUCUGGGUUCCGGGCCGAGGGCAGGCCAUGUGGAGCAGGGAGGCCCCGUGGCCGUGUCUCCCCCGUCUCCGGGGCUGCCCGCCCAGCAGA